rnacentral:rRNA from 1 species
UACGUAGGGUGCGAGCGUUGUCCGGAAUUACUGGGCGUAAAGAGCUCGUAGGUGGUUUGUCGCGUUGUUCGUGAAAACCGGGGGCUUAACCCUCGGCGUGCGGGCGAUACGGGCAGACUUGAGUACUGCAGGGGAGACUGGAAUUCCUGGUGUAGCGGUGGAAUGCGCAGAUAUCAGGAGGAACACCGGUGGCGAAGGCGGGUCUCUGGGCAGUAACUGACGCUGAGGCACGAAAGCUAGGGUAGCGAACGGG